UACGUAGGGUGCGAGCGUUAAUCGGAAUUACUGGACGUAAAGCGUGCGCAGGCGGUUUUGUAAGACAGGUGUGAAAUCCCCGGGCUUAACCUGGGAACUGCGCUUGUGACUGCAAGACUCGAGUACGGCAGAGGGGGGUAGAAUUCCACGUGUAGCAGUGAAAUGCGUAGAGAUGUGGAGGAAUACCGAUGGCGAAGGCAGCCCCCUGGGUCGAUACUGACGCCCAUGCACGAAAGCGUGGGGAGCAAACAGG
rnacentral:rRNA from 1 species